rnacentral:rRNA from 1 species
ACCUGCGGAAAGAUAUUA